rnacentral:lncRNA from 1 species
CGGAAAGAAACAACUCAAAAUACAGUUUCAGUAACAAAAUGAAUCGGAGAAGGAACUGAAGGCUUCACACCAAUAUAAUCACCAAGAAAAUAUCAUUAUCCUAUUAUCUACCCAUUUGUGAUUUUGAUAGCUCAUCAUGAGAUUUUUUAUGCAAUUUCCACUAUCUCAGCCACUGGAAUCAAGAAGCCAUGUCUAACCUCUUUCGGUAUAUAAAGCAACUAAAGUAGCAUUGUCAAAUAAAAUUUUGUAUUUGUUACUGAAAACAUAUAGAAAGGAACAUACAUGACUUCUCCAAUUUCAGAUGCCUUCGCCUCAUCGUCUUCAUUUAAGGUAUCUGCUGCCAAAAGAAGAUCAUUUUCUUCUUCCUCAUCGUCGGAAUCAUCUGUGGCUAACUUCUUUUUUGUGACCAUUAAUGCAUUUUCUUUCUUUGGGCUCUCAGGUUCAGCUGAAAUUUGUUCUUUUGACACAGCCUUAGAUUUGAUUUUCUGGUUGAGAAAACGGAUUUUCGGAGUCAUUGGCAAACCUAAUGAUGCUGAAUAUUCAUCGAUAGGUAGUUUCGUAACAUCAAAUAUCUCUUUAUCCUUUUGGAGAUGUAUGGAUCUCAAAUAUGUGAUGAAUGCCCUUUGAGCGCGAGGCUGCAAGUCCGGGUACUUGGCUAGUAAAGAUGCCAACAAAGCAGAAACUGGUUGCAGAAGUUCUUUCCUUGGCUGAACAAUAAACAAAGCAUGGUAAGCAAUUGUGUGAGACAAAAUGUAUAAGAGUUGACGAUAAAGAAUAGAGUAGUACAUCAAGAAAACGGAAGCUUUAGAACAGGCACCUUGAUGAUUCAAACACAAAUUGGAAGUAUAUGUACAUUAUUGAUUUGAAGAGCAGGUGUACCUUGUUAAAAUGCACUGGAACUUUCGCUGCUUUAAACUUUUCAAGCAUCUGAAUUUCAGAGGGCAAAAGAAAUAAAACUGACUUCCCACCAGAUUUAUAACGAGCAGUACGACCGACUCUGUGUAUGUAAGAUGCCACAUUUUCUGGACAAUCCACCUACAGAUGUAAUCGAAAAGUGAGCAUCUACUGGUCUAAUCAUGAAAACAAUUUUCCCUUUCCACAUCCUCCCGAUGCCGCAAGACUUGAGCAGAGACAUGAAAUAAGGGGCAAGAUACUAACCUGAACAACCCAGUCAACUGCCUUAUUGAAGUCGAGUCCUCUUGCAGCCACAUCGGUGCAGAAGAGAACUGAGCGCUUCUCACAAAACUCAGAAUAUAUGGCCAUUCUUCUUUCUUGUUUCAUCCUCCCAUGAAGACAUUUCAACGGAAUACCAGGAUGAAGUUUCUUAAAUGCUUCAUAGACAAAUUUUACCUAUUAAUCAGGCAUGUGAAUGUCAUGGAAGAUAGUCAUGGAAGAUAGUCAUGGAAGAUAGUCAAUCUCAAAGGUGAAAAUUUACAUUAUAAACGUACAUGAACAUAAAAUCAACACGAACAUAAAAUCAACACGAACAUAUUUAAAUUUAAAAUGUUUCCAACAUUUAAAUAUAAGAAUGUAAAGUGUCCACAAUUGAAAACUAUGACAGAGGUCUAUACAUGCAGACUAAUCCUAGUGGAGUUGCAGCAAAGCUAACUAUUUAUGAAGACAUUCAAUAUGAAAUUAAUGCGAGAAUUAUGACUAGACAUUCAAUGAUCAAACCAAUUUCCAUUUUUUAUGGUGUACAAAAACUCCUGAAAAUUAUGACUGGACAUGCACAUGUACUCGUUAGUUAAUGGCAUAGGAAAAACAUGUCAAGUGGUGUGAUAGUAAAACUGUAAUACAAGCCUAUAACAUAAGAUUCCUCCAAAAAAAGUUUCUUAACACGGGAGAGGAGAAUGUAGUAACCUGCUUGCAGCUUGAAAGAAAGACAAGUAUUUUUGACUGAAGAUGUGUCUUUAUGAAACUCCACACCAUAUCUAACUUUUGAUCCAGGGGAACAACCAUCACAAUUUGCUUCAAGAGUGUAGGAGUGGCACUCACAGACUCUUCGUGAACACUCAGAUACUCUGGGUCCUUCAAACUUAGCCUUGCAAGAUCUUGAACUGAUUUAGUUUGAGUUGCAGAGAAAAGCAAGGUUUGCCUACGCUUUGGUAGUUGUGAGAUGAUUGCAUUUAGUUCCCUCUUGAAUCCACUGUCAAGAAUACGAUCAGCCUCAUCCAGCACCAAAACCUGUAUGGCAACCACAAAGUUCACUUAACAAUCAGCUAAGUUGAUAAUAUCUAAUGAAUAACUAAGCAAGCAUGGCUUCCAAAAGAAACCUUAUAUGCUUUGGAAAAUAAAACUUAUAUCUGAUACUUCAACAAAGGCUAAAACAUAAAAAAUUUCAACUGCACUUUCAACCACCAUUACUAUGUCACCUAAGUAGAUUCUCAAAGGAAGCAACAUUUCCAAAGGGUUAUCAAGGCAGGCAUCUUGGGAUACUAGAGUAUUAAGAAACACAUGUGAACACGGCUCCAAGAUAAUAAAAAAAUCUAUGUAGAUUGUACUUCUAAUUUCAGAGUCGGAUUAGGUUAAUAUAUUCUACAAUCCACAUAGAGAAUAAAUGGGGGAGGAUUAUAUCGACCUGCAUCUGAGAACAAUCAAAAUUGGGAGUUUCGUCCAUGUGCUGCAGAAGGCGACCGGGCGUGCAGAUCAAUAUGUUAAGCUCAUUGACACGUUCCUUCUCCAUGUCAACAUCCUUGCGACCACCAAUGAGGAGUCCAGCACUAAAAUUAUGGUGCUUCCCGACAGACUUGAGCACAUCAAACAGCUGACCAGCUAAUUCCCUUGUAGGAGAUAUGAUGAUGCUGCCGACCCCAUCUUCAGGUCCCCAUCUCUCUCUGUAUAGCUUCUCUAACACCUAUCAGUCAAUCCACCACCAAAUUAUCAACAAAAACCAACCCAAAAACACUUUUCCAUUGGUAUUACAAAAAAUUAUGGUCCAUUUCAGAUUUAAAAAAAAUCAGUAAAAAUCCAACCAAAGUAGCACACAAACAUCUGAAGUGACAUCUUAUGAACAAAAAAUCUAAAAACAGGAUUUCAGUAUAAGUAGGGUAAUCAUGCUAGAUAAAUGAUUUCACUAUAUAAAAGCAACCAAAACAAAGAAAAAAAUCUUAGAACAUACCAAACAAGCCGACCUUAUAUGAACAGACAAAUAUGCAACUUAGUCCCUAAAAUUAAUCUUCACUCCCUAUUCAAUACAUGAAUUUAAUUAUCAUAGACUUAUAUGGCACACGCUACUCCUCAAUAAGCUUAUUAUAAAGAAGCUAAAUUACAUGUUCCAUCGGUUCGAAACUUUUUAUGUUAUACUGAAUUCAGUUGAUAGUAGCAAGUAAAUAAGUGAAUCAUGUAACUAUAUACAGGAGCUUAUAACAUUCCUAUACAUUUUUCAACUUACAUGAAAAAAGAUUAUCACAUAAACACUUAAAAAAGUUGUUUACUCAAAAACUCCAUUAAUCCUCAAUAUUCAAGUUAAUCCUUGCUAAGCACUACUGAGAUAAAAAAUGACUAAGUAAAUAUAAAGUUAAAAACUUUACAAAAAUAGGAGUAACUAUAGUGAUAAAACUUCAGUGGCUAUAUUGGUAAUUUAGUCGAAAAUAAAAAAACCACUCACAGGGAUAAUGAAAGCAAGGGUUUUUCCAGAACCAGUUUUUGCAGCACCGAGAAUAUCACGUCCACAUAGCGCGUGAGGAAGAGACGCUCUUUGUAUAUCAGUCAUGCUCACAAAUUUUCCAUCUUUCAAACCAUCCUUCGUUUUCUUCGACAGUGGAAGCUGAUUGAAAUUCGCCACACCCGCAUACCGCGAAAACGUGUUUUCAUCCACGCGCCCAAUGGGUGCGUUUUUUGGAAGUGGAGGAAGUGACAUAGGGUUUGAACCAGAAUCUACUUGCUGUGUUUGGAUCCAUGACUUCAAUAAUUCUAUCUCGGUUUCUUCUGAAAUUCGUUGUUGCUUCUUGAAAUCCUUUGAUUUGGGUCUUCUCAUUGUUGCCAAAGAUUUGAAAUUGGUGAGAGUGAAGGGAGAUGAAGGUUCAGGUUUGGAGAUGAAGGAGACGCUGUCGUUUAGGUUUGGAGAUGAUGAUGAUGUAUUUAAUGGACCAACAUUAGGCAAUUUUGGCCCAAAAUAAAUUGGGCUAGCCCAAUUUCAAUCUCAUUGGCCCAAUGUUUUUUUCAAAACAAUAUCUAGAGCAUUCUUUAAAAAAUAUAUGACAAUUAUUGCUAGUGAAUCUUCCUAUGAUUCAUACUAAUGUGUCCAUACUUUAAAAAAUAUAUGACAAUUAUUGUUAAUGAAUCUUACUACCAUUCAUACUAGCCUGUAUAUACUUUGAAAAAUAUAUGACAAUUAUUGUUAGUGAAUCUUACUACAAUUCAUAUUAGCGUUUAGAUACUUAAUGAGGUAGUCACACAACCUGAAAUGAAUUAGUUUUUUUCCAAAUGGUUAGGAUAUUCUUGUCAAUACUAACAAAAAUAUUAGUGUGUCAACAUGCAUUUCUUGUUUGCCGACUCAUAUUCUUAUUUUAUGAUAUCAAGUAUUUUUAUUAUAAGAGAAAAAGAUAUAUGUAUUUAUAGUGUAUAAGUUUUAUAUUUGAUUAUCGUUGACUUUUCAUAAAAAAUAAUCUAAAUUUUACACUUUUAUUAUAAUGUCUAUUUAAGGUGAGAUGUAUUAAUGGUAUCUACGAUUAUAUGAUUUAGUCUAUGUGAAAAAUAAAAUAUGAAAUUAGAAAUUAGUAGUUAUAUUAUAUUUUGUGUUUAUAUAUAGUAUAGAAGUAUAUAUAUAUAUAUAUAUAUAUAUAUAUAGUAUAGAAAUUAUCCUACUUAUACUGAACUCCUUUUAUUUAAGAAGAGUUCAUUCAAUUUUAGGUACUCACUUUUAAAUGCAAUGAAGUCGGAGGAAACAAAGGCAACUAAAAAUAAAAUAUUAGUAACAAAUGAUGACAAUGACUAACAAAAAGAGGUCCAUCAUUCAGGUAUAAUGAUAAAGUUCUCUUUCUGUUAACCCUACAAUCUACAAGUACAACAAAUCUUAAGCAAAACAUGCAAUGAUGAAAGACCAAAAUCCGAAAAGGAUAAUGAUAUAAUUUAUACUUUAGGACUAUCUGUUUUUCAGACUAACAUUGAUGUAACAGAAGCCACAUGCUUACUUGAAAUUUCUUAAGACUCUUACAUAAUGAAACAAGCAAGGGUUUCAUUACAGAUUACAAAACAACCUAUUUCCCAGGAUGAUUGUUUGUCACAAAUGGAACCACAAGAUUAUCUGACCAAUGCAUAAAAUAUGAAUCAUAAUGAAGAACUGAAGUAUGAACUAGUCUGAGGCAGAAAAUGUGCAUUUAUUCAGGGAACCUUAUCCCUUCUGAGCAGUAGUUAAGUCAAAAGCAGCAUAUUUGCACUCUAAAAGUCUAAAUUGAACUGCUUCGUCGCCAUUCAUUCUGUAAGUUAUACAGGUGAGCCAUAUAUGAAGAAUAUGUGCACAUCUAAUACUUCUGUUUAAGUACGUGCCGCAGCUGAAUCUUCUGGCUCUCCACCCUAGCCUCCAAAAGUUUGGAUUUCAAACUAUUCUUUUGUGUACUACGAGGAAUGCAUCCUUUCAUACCUAGAUGGGAAUGUGGAUUUCCUGAUUCAGGAGAGCUCAGUCGGUAUAGAAGGUCUUGGGGACUUAGUCCACCUUUACCUGAUCCAUAGUCAGGAGACGUGAUUCCCACGUUAGAUAACCUUCCAUUUGAAAGCCUCCCGUUUAUUCCGUCCACAGAGAUUAUCUUAUAAUUAUCCCCAUUGUUUAGGCCUGACCUCCAAAGCUUUGUUAUGGAUGACACUUUCUUUGGUUGCUUAGUUGGUAUAGAGCAGACUUCACUAAUUUCGGUUAUUGGUGUUUCCUCACCUGUAUUUUGUUCCCAUUCCAGCACACUCCUCCUUGAGACAUUACUCUCCCGAUGAUUCUUGCUCAAAGAUUGGGAGAUGCCUUCGCCUCAUCGUCUUCAUUUAAGGUAUCUGCUGCCAAAAGAAGAUCAUUUUCUUCUUCCUCAUCGUCGGAAUCAUCUGUGGCUAACUUCUUUUUUGUG